CCUUUCAGACUCAGACCUCUGAUCUUCAAGACUCUGAAACAGCUUGGAGUCUAUCCAGAUGACUUUGAAAGCGUUCAGACGUUGUUCAGCAUCAGCAAGUGCUUCCAGCUUAGCACGUUCAGAUUCAGCAUGAUUAAAGGUGGUUAACCUUUUCAAUGCAGCCCUAGCCAUACUCUCCCUCAUGAAGCUUAUCACAUCCAAGUCUCUUCUUCCAACUACAGCCUUAAUUUUCUCAGCAGCACCAUCCAAAGCAUUGCAAAUCCUUGCCUUAAUGCUUGAAACUUCCAA
rnacentral:lncRNA from 1 species